AUACGUAGGGUGCAAGCGUUAAUCGGAAUUACUGGGCGUAAAGCGUGCGCAGGCGGUUUUGUAAGACAGUGGUGAAAUCCCCGGGCUCAACCUGGGAACUGCCUUUGUGACUGCAAGGCUAGAGUACGGCAGAGGGGGAUGGAAUUCCGCGUGUAGCAGUGAAAUGCGUAGAUAUGCGGAGGAACACCGAUGGCGAAGGCAAUCCCCUGGGCCUGUACUGACGCUCAUGCACGAAAGCGUGGGGAGCAAACAGGAUUAGAUACCCUGGUAGUCCACGCCCUAAACGAUGUCAACUGGUUGUUGGGUCUUCAUUGACUCAGUAACGAAGCUAACGCGUGAAGUUGACCGCCUGGGGAGUACGGCCGCAAGGUUGAAACUCAAAUGAAUUGGCGGGG
rnacentral:rRNA from 1 species